rnacentral:rRNA from 1 species
UACGUAGGGGGCAAGCGUUGUCCGGAAUUAUUGGGCGUAAAGAGCGUGUAGGCGGCCAGAUAAGUCCGCUGUGAAAUCUCGAGGCUCAACUUCGAGCUGUCGGUGGAAACUAUCUGGCUAGAGUCCGGAAGAGGAGAAUGGAAUUCCUGGUGUAGCGGUGAAAUGCGCAGAUAUCAGGAGGAACACCGGUGGCGAAGGCGGAUCUCUGGGCCACUACUGACGCUGAGAAGCGAAAGCAUGGGGAGCGAACAGG